rnacentral:rRNA from 1 species
UACGGAGGAUCCAAGCGUUAUCCGGAAUCAUUGGGUUUAAAGGGUCCGUAGGCGGCCCUGUAAGUCAGCGGUGAAAUCUCCCGGCUCAACCGGGAAAUGGCCAUUGAUACUGCAGGGCUUGAAUUAUUAGGAAGUAACUAGAAUAUGUAGUGUAGCGGUGAAAUGCUUAGAUAUUACAUGGAAUACCGAUUGCGAAGGCAGGUUACUACUAAUGGAUUGACGCUGAUGGACGAAAGCGUGGGUAGCGAACAGG